UUAUAUUAAUAUAAAAGUAAUUAUGCUAGAACUAGUAACAAGAAAUUGAAUUUCUCCUAAAUGUAAGCAUAAGCCAUUACGGACCAUCCACUGGCACUUAACGUCUUUGUAACUACCAUAACAGCACUACUCAAGAAGACCCUAUUAUACUUCAACGUUAACCUUACACCAGAACAUUCCAGGAAAGAUUAAAAAAGAGAGAAGGAACUCGGCAAAUUUUAGCCCCGCCUGUUUACCAAAAACAUCGCCUCUUGACAUAAUAUAAGAGGCCCAGCCUGCCCGGUGACAAAGUUUAACGGCUACGGUACCCUGACCGUACGAAGGUAGCAUAAUCACUUGUUCCUUAAAUAGGGACUUGUAUCAACGGCAUCACGAGGGCUGCACUGUCUCCUCCCUUCAAUCAGUGAAACUGAUCCCCCCGUGAAGAAGCGGGGAUUAGACCAUAAGACGAGAAGACCCCAUGGAGCUUUAAACACGUACUCACACUAUACUUACACGUCCCUUAACUAAAAGCCCUGAGUACAAGUUUUAGGUUGGGGAGACCGCGGAGAACAACUAAACCUCCACAACAGAUGGCCCUUAAGCCCUUAUCCGCGAGCUACACCUCUAAGAAUCAACAUACUGAUGAUUAUGACCCGAUACUAUUCGAUUAAUGAACCAAGUUACCCUGGGGAUAACAGCGCAAUCUACUUCAAGAGCCCAUAUCGACAAGUAGGUUUACGACCUCGAUGUUGG
rnacentral:rRNA from 1 species